AAAGGUUUCCGUAGGUGAACCUGCGGAAGGAUCAUUAACGUGUUCUUCGGGCCGUUGGGUCGGCCCUGCACCGGCGGAGACGCCGUGAUGCGGGCUCCCGACGCGCCUUCCACACCAAACCCCUGUGAACCUUUGGGAGGGCUCGAGAGGGCCGUCCCCUUUACAAACUCUUGUCAUUUUUAGAAUGAACGCGGACUCUGUCCGCCUAAACAUGUAACAACUUUCAACAACGGAUCUCUUGGCUCUCGCAUCGAUGAAGAACGCAGCGAAAUGCGAUAAGUAAUGUGAAUUGCAGAAUUCAGUGAAUCAUCGAAUCUUUGAACGCACCUUGCGCCCCUUGGUAUUCCGAGGGGCAUGCCUGUUCGAGUGUCUUGAAUUCUUCGCCCCUGCCGGUUUUGUAACGAGACCGGGAGGAAGGCGGACGUGGGGGCCUGCCGCGGCGACGCGGCUCCCCUCAAAUGCAUCGGUGGGGCUUCCGAGCGUUCCACGGGCGUUGUAUUGUCCUCGUCCGACACUGGGCCUCGUCACCCGCCUCGACCCGCCGUGAGAGCGGCGGUCAAAGCACUUUGAAAUCUGACCUCGAAUCAGGUAGGACUACCCGCUGAACUUAAGCAUAUCAAUAAGCGGAGGA
rnacentral:rRNA from 1 species